rnacentral:rRNA from 1 species
CCUACGGGGUGCUGCAGUCGAGAAUCAUUCACAAUGGGGGAAACCCUGAUGGUGCGACGCCGCGUGGGGGAAUGAAGGUCUUCGGAUUGUAAACCCCUGUCAUGUGGGAGCAAAUUAAAAAGAUAGUACCACACGAGGAAGAGACGGCUAACUCUGUGCCAGCAGCCGCGGUAAUACAGAGGUCUCAAGCGUUGUUCGGAAUCACUGGGCGUAAAGCGUGCGUAGGCGGGGAUGCAAGUUGGGUGUCAAAACUACCGGCUCAACUGGUAGUCGCACUCAAAACUGCAGCUCUUGAGUGAAGUAGAGGCAGGCGGAAUUCCUAGUGUAGCGGUGAAAUGCGUAGAUAUCACACAGAACACCGAUUGCGAAGGCAUCUCACGAAGCCGCGAUUGACGCUGAUGCACGAAAGCGUGGGUAUCAAACAGGAUUAGAUACCCGAGUAGUC